CAUUUGGGGAAAACAGUCUCAAUAAAAAGGCCAUAAAAUAGCUGAUCUGGAGGUUUCAGUUUAAAAUAGAACUGUUAUUAAAUGGUCCUGAUGCAUGGAUUGAAAGUGACAGGCCCCGGGACACGGAAAGUUUGAUGUUUGUCUCUCUUUGGUCGUCUUAUGUCUCCUUUUAGUCGUUUUGUUUUUCUUUGUGGUCGCUUUCCAUCACCUUUUGGUCAUGUUGUCGCUCUUUUUGAUCAUUUUCCGUCUCUUUGUGGUUGUUUUGCACCUCUUUUGGUCAUUUUGUUGUCAUUGUUGUCACGUAAAAAUAAGAGCGAGCAAAAAAUAUGAAGCUCAAUUAUUACAGCACCUUUUAAUGGGAACUUUACUUUGUAGGUCUUAACCGGAAGCAAUUUCUAACUCCGCAGUUUUACAACUUUACGUUUACGUCAUCAAAGUAUAACCACUGCUCACUUUAACCGGAGCAAAAUUGCAGUAUAUGUAGUCAGGUAUAUAUAACUUGACAGUGGCUGGAAUGAGCUUAAAUUACUGUUCGUUCUUUGUUUGGAUUUUUUGUUAAGAAAAGCUACUCUGACACCUUAACGUCUAAGUGACGUUUUACGAGAUUAACAAGCCGCAAGACCUGUUUUACAACUGUGAAUAAUGCGGAGUGUUCGUGUGCUGCCUUUGAACAUCUUGUAUUCAACAGCUUGAAUAAAUAACCCCCACAGAGUAAGGAGAACCAUCACCUUUUCUGCAGCAUACAGAUCCUCCAUGAAUAUUCCAGGGCUCCUUGUUUGUCGGGAAGGCUGUCUCGCUUUCAUCUAUUCAGCCUUCUGAUAGACAACCCUGACACCUGCUCCCUGGGGAGACCCUCCGCCAAGUCAGUGCACUGUUCCUUGAGAGACUUCCCUUACUUUAUCAGCCCAUAAAGGAUUGUCACAGGUGACUAUAUCAGCUGAGGUAUGGAGCUGCUCUCUCUGACCUGCCUCGGCACCGUGUGGUCGAGGCACCAUGCACUGCUUCACAAGCGGAUUAAGGUGGCUUAAAUGCUGUCAUACAAGCGGACUCAGUGCUUCACACUUUCUAAAAAUGUUAAGCCUUUGUUCUCUUCCAUUAAUUAGCAUUGUCUUAAGUUCAUUAGACCACUGCUCAUGUUGUUACUAAUGAGGCAACGUAGACCACCUACAUCAGCCGUAGCUUUGUAGAGCCUGACCUGACAGUGGCUCCUGUGCUUUCCCAUCUAUGGAGUAAUGACAUACAGACAGAGGGGAUGCAGAAACACAGAUACAGCCCAGAGUGAGGCUCACACUCAUUAAUGGUUACAUUUCAGAAAUUUAAUUAGCAUUAGAUAUUAAAACACAGGACUGCAUAGAUACAUUUAAGUGGACAAUGCUAAAUGUGUUGAUCUAUAAUGGAGACAAGUUUUUAAUCUCUUUUGUUAACAGCUGAAGUUAACUGUGCAGAUUAAGAUGUGUUUUAGUGGCUUCAGUAGUGUUGUAAAAGUUUGUUCUCUUCUUAUCUAAUGAUUAUUUCAGGGCAAUGCACUUCUGCUUAUCCCUUUUCCAAAACUAAAUGAGACUUACAGGGGCCUGUAUUCUAGAGUGGCAUCUAUAACUCAACAGAGGGAACACCUUAACAAAGGCAACUUAAAUGUACACUGACAGAUAUGGAUAUAAGAAGUGUCAAGCCCAGUGAUGUAGACUGGGCACCAUUCAUAAUUAUGAUAUCUGAUUUCAGCUCAAAAGGAAAAAAGUGGGGGGAGAGCACCAUUAUUUUAAUGGAGAAGAGACAGCCUUCUCCCUCAAGGAACAUCUACACUGACACUGGCUGCUGGAAAAUUGGGAUUUAUACUUUCUGUUUUCUAUUAAUAUGGAGAUGAAUACAGGUGCUGCUGUGUCGUAAAAUUAGUUUAGCUCUUGCAAAUUGCAAUUACACAUGUUGAGGAGAGAAGGGUGAUGUCUGUGCAUUUCACAGGCAAGAGAAAAUGUAAGAAAAUUAGGAAAAAUGUCUAGGUUUAAAAUGAACAUUAUAACAUGUAAUUCUGUCCUCUCCAGCCCCUCAGCCAGUCUGGCAGAUGUACCUAUUUGUUCUGCUUAAAAGAAUAGGACACUUUUCCUUGCUUCUCAUGCAAGGAAAAAGCGCAUCAAAUAUGCUAUAAAUGUUUCCCUCUUCAAGUGUGAAGACUUGGGAAGGGCUUCAAAACCCAGGGAAGUCAUCCAAAUUUCCCCGCUGUCAUCCUAAGGGGCUUGUGGAGGGCAUUUCUGAGCAGAGUGCACUGGUGAAUGUACCAGCAAGGUGAGGUGGGGCUGUACCAAAGAAAUACUUCAGCAUAACAGCAAUGAUUGGAUUAUAGCUGUGCACCCAGGCACAAGCCUCUCCAUGAAAGUGUAAGCCAAUACAGAGUAGGGAAGAUACAGUGCACAAACAGACUCUGAAUCAGUGUAUUUUUUUAAUCUUAAAUGGAAACAUCAGUCUCAUCGUCUAGCUAAUGUUACUCUCUGUAAUCUCUGUCUAGCAUCUUUAGUCAUACCAUGUUAGCAGUUAUUUAUGGUUUGUUAGGGUUGACACUAAAUAUACAUUUAUUUUACAUCCACUACAAGUUAGCUACAUUCAGCUAAGGUUAUCCAUCCGGAAUUAUCACAGUCAGUAAAGGGAGAUCUAAACAUUUUAAGCAACUUUAAGCGCCUCCCUCCCAACAUGGCGUGAUGCACCUUCACAUUAUCUAUACAAAGAUAAGCUAACUGGCUCCAGCUGUAGUUUCGUAUUUACUGUACAGGUAUGGGUGUGGUAUAGACUGUCAAAAAGUGUCUUCCUUUAAACAAUCCUCACGUUAUAGUAAAAAAAAAAAGGUGGUGGAAAAAUUUGUUACAAGAUUGCUACAAUAACAGAAAAUUGCUAAUAUUUGAUGGUCAAAAAUUGUAAAUAUGUCACUGACCCUUGCAGUUGAUGCAAAAGUAACUAUUCUUCAACAGAGUCCCGUGACUUAAUCAGUCAGCUACAGCGUUUACCUGGCAUUGGGCUAACUUUCUCUCCACAGCCAGUAGAGAGGCUCUGGUACUGAGGCAAGACAUUAAUUCACAGUGUCAACCUGUCCC